UAAGGCUGCUUCGGCGAAUCUCC
rnacentral:siRNA from 1 species